GACGAACGCUGGCGGCGUGCUUAACACAUGCAAGUCGAACGGAAAGGCCCUGCUUUUGUGGGGUGCUCGAUUGGCGAACGGGUGAGUAACACGUGAGUAACCUGCCCUUGACUUUGGGAUAACUUCAGGAAACUGGGGCUAAUACCGGAUAGGAGCUCCUGCUGCAUGGUGUGGGUAGGAAAGUUUCAGCGGUUGGGGAUGGACUCGCGGCUUAUCAGCUUGUUGGUGGGGUAGUGGCUUACCAAGGCUUUGACGGGUAGCCGGCCUGAGAGGGUGACCGGCCACCUUGCGACUGAGAUACGGCCCAGACUCCUACGGGAGGCAGUAGUGGGGAAUAUUGCAGAAUGGGCGGACGCCUGAUGCAGCAACGCCGCGUGCGGGAUGACGGCCUUCGGGUUGUAAACCGCUUUCGCAUGUGACGAAGCGUGAGUGACGGUACUUGGUAAAGAAGCACCGGCUAACUACGUG
rnacentral:rRNA from 1 species